UUUUUCAAUGCCCCUUGGCAAUCAUUAUUUCACUUGACCGUUUGAUCUUUUUUUCUUGAAUGGGUUCCCACGUGGCUGUUAGAUGAGAUGUGAACCAUGACAUGUAGUUCAAUCCAUCUAAGAAACCACGAACCUCUCUUUUUUCCUCUCGGUUCAGGCGUUUCUCUUUUUUUUUUUUUAGCAGGAUCAACCUCGAUUCCUCUUUCCUGCUCACAAUGAACCCCAGCAAUUUACCGGACUGCACUCUGAUAGUGCACUUACU
rnacentral:lncRNA from 1 species